UUGAGUAAUUUUAAAUAGUAAAUAAUGAGCCUCCAGAAUGCUAUAUUCCUCUGAAGACUAGCAUUCACAGAAAUAUAAGUUUCUGGGCCAGGGACUAAAUUCAAUCUACAGCUGCACCUAUGCCACAACUGUGGCAACUCUGGGUCUUUAACCCACUGUGCCACAGGAGGAACUCCUUAAGACUAUUAAUUUUUUUUAUCAGGUAGUUACCCAAUUGAAAUCAAAUUGAGAAUUGUCUUACCAGCAAUGCUUGGCAGCUAAAAUGUCACUUUAGUAAGCAGAGAUAUUUAAAUGAGAAAUUAUUGGGAGUUCCCCUCAUGGCUCAGAGGAAAUGAAUCUGACUAGCAUUCAUGAGGACGCAGGUUCAAUCCCUGGACCUGCUCAGUGGGUUAAGGAUCCAGCGUUGCUGCGAGCAUUGGUGUAAGUUGCAGACACGGCUCAGAUCCCGAGUUGCUGUGGCUGUGGCUGUGGUAUAGGCCAGCACCACAGCAAUGCCAGAUACAAACCAUGCGAUGACCAACACCACAGCUCAUGGCAACACUGGAUCCCUGACCCACUGAUUAAGGCCAGGGAUCCAACCCGCAUCCACAUGGCUAGUCAGAUUCGUUUCCAUGGCACCACAAUAGGAACUACUUUGAAUUAUUUUUUACAGCACUUACCAUAUAUAUUAUUGUCUUUUCAGCUUCUCAAGAUAUUUUGCAAAUUAAUACUGUAUCACUCUGCCUCUUAUGCUAUAUUUACCAUGUAUGAUAUGAGUAUAUAUAUAUGCUUUUUUGUUUUUGCUUUUUAGGGGCGAACCUAUAGCAUAUAGAAGUUCCCAGGGUUAAAUUGGAGCUACAGCCACCGGACUACGCCACAGCCACAGCAAUGUGGGAUGCGAGACACGUCUGCAACCUACACCACAGCUCAUGACAACGCUGGAUCCUUAAUGCCCUGAGUGAAGCCAGGCAUCAAACCCAUAUCCUCAUGGAUACCAGUCGGGCUCGUAACCUGCUAAGCCACAACAGGAACUCCUAAUAUAUUAUUAUUGAUUCCACAAUUAUAAUUUUUGCUUUAAACAUUUGUAAGGUUUUUAGAGAAAUUAAGAGAAAUAAGUCUUUUAUAUUUACCUUCAUACUGCCAUUUCGUAUCCACUCCUUCUUGAAGAUCUAUUGUGAAUUCCAACUGUUCUAUCUUGUCCUUAGGGCCACAGAAGAAAAACUUCUGAUGCUAUUAACAUCUCAUCACUCCAGAACUUUCAGGCAUGAGCUCAUGAACAUAAAUGCAAAACAACUUUAAAUAAAACCUUAGCAAUCCAAACCAAAAACCGUUUUUAAAGGGCAAUAUAUAACAACUGGGGUUUAUCACAGGAAUGCAGGUUUGGUGUAAUAUCUAAAAAUCAACCAUUGUAAUUAAUGAUGUUGUAAUUCAUUAUAUAAACCAACCUGAUGAUCAUCUCAAUAAAUGAAGAAAAGGCAUCUGAUAAAUCCAGUAUCCAUUCCUGACCAAAACACUCAGCAAAUGAGGAAUAGGAAUAAACUCCUCAGUCUGAUAAAGGGCAUCUAUGAAAAAAUAAACUUACGACUAACAUUAUACUUAAUGGUGAAAAAAUUCUUUGCUCUAUAAGAUCAGAAAUAACACAAAGAUGUCUGUUCUUACCAUUUUUCCCCCACUCCCAACCGAAGCACAUGUAAGUUCUCAGGCCAGGAAUCAAAUCUGAGUCACAGCUGCAACCUAUAUACCGCAGCUGCAGCAACCAGAUUCCUUAACCUGCUGCUGCACAGUGGGAACGCCUGCUCUUAGCAUUUCUAUUCAACACUGGGCUGAAAGUUCAAACCAGUGCAAUCAGGCAAGAUAAACAAAAACAGGAGAAAAAAAGAAGUUAAAACCUUAUAUUCACAGACAAUAUAACUGUCUAUGGCAAAAAUUUGAGAUCUACAAAAACAACAAAACACCACAACUAAGUUACUUAGGUCGCAGAACACAAGAUCAUUACAAAAAUAUCCGUUUUAUUUCUUUCUCUUUUUUGUCUUUUUGCCUUUUCUAGGGCUGCUUCCCGCGGCAUAUGGAGCCCUAGAAAAGGCAAAGAGACCAAAUAAAUAAAUAAAUAAAAAUAAUAAUAAUAAUGGAAUGCCACUACAGACCUGUUAGAAUGGAAAAAUUUUAAAGACUGACACAGCUAUCUUUACAGUGCGAUAGACUUGUAAAACGACUGAUCAUGUCAAAUGCUAGAGAGGAUGUGGAGGAACGUGUUUCAGACACUGCUGGUGGAAAUGUAAAAUGGUACAAUCACUAUGCAAAACAGUUUUAACAGUUUUUUAGAAAGCUAACCAUAUACCAAUCAUACUGUCCAACAAUUCCACUCGUUUCUCCAAAGAAGACUUAAGGAUGGCCUAAGGAGGCACGUGAAAAAGUGCUCAACAUCACUAAUCAUUAGAGAAAUGCAAAUCAAAACCACAAUGAGGUACCACCUCACAGCAGUCAGAAUGUCCGUCCUUAGUAAGUCUGUAAGUAACAAAUGCUGGAGGGGAUGUGGAGAAAAGGGAACAGUCCUACACCAAUGACUGGAAUGUAAAUCGGUACCCCUAUGGAAAACAGUAUGGGUUCCUCAAAAAAACUAAAUAUAGAACUACCACAUGAUCCAGCAAUCCCACUCCUGGACAUUUGUCUGGACAAAAUUAUAAUGCAAAGACAUGCACGUACCCCUAUGUUCACUGCAGCACUAUUCAUAACAGCCAAGAAACAGAAACAACUAAAUGUCCAUCAACAGAUGAAUUAUCAUGAUGUGAUACCUAUACACCAUGGAAUACUACUCUGCCAUAAUAAAAACGAAACUGCCACUUGCAGCAAAAUGGAUGCAAUCAGAGAUAAGCAUACUGAGUGAAAUCACUUACAUACACAAUCUAAAAUAUGGCAGAGGGAGUUCAUGUCAUGGCUCAGAGGUAACGAAACUGUGUAGGAACCAUGAGGAUGUGGGUUUCAUCUGUAUCUCGCUCAGAGGGCCAAGGAUCCAAAUUGCCAUGGGCGUGGUUUAGGACUCAGACUCAGCUCAGAUCCGGUGUUGCUAUGGCUGUACCAUAGGCCAGUAGCUGUAGCUCCAAUGUGAACUCUAGCCUGGAAACCUCCAUAUGCCAUGGCUACAGCCCUAAAAAGCAAAAUAAGUAAAUAAAUAAAAUAGGGCAGAAAUAAACCAACCUACAAAACGGAGACUCACAGACAUAAAGAAAAGACUUGUUGUUGCUAGGUGGAUGGGUAAGGGUAGGAGGAAUGGGACGGACUGGGAGGUUGGGGUUAGUAGAUGCCAACUAUUACAUUUAGGAUAGAUAAGCAAUGAGUCCCUACUGUACAGUACAGGGAACUAUAUCCAGUCUCUGGGAUAGAACAUGAUGAAAAGUAAUAUAAAGGAAAUGUAUAUACAUGUGUGUGUAUAUAUAGGUAUGUAUGUAUUAACUGGGUCACUUUGCUCUACAGCAGAAAAUGGCACACUGUAAAACAACUAUAAUUUUUUAAAGUUAAUAAACAUUACGAUUUAAAAAAUUUUUAAUUAAAAAAAGACUUGUCCACAUUCAUAGUAGCUUUAUUAGUAGAAGACAAAAAACUGCAACAAUCCAAACAUCCAUCAAUAGGUGAAUAUCAACAAACUGUGGUAUAAUAAUUCCCAGCUAAUAAAAGGAAUAAAUUAUUGAUACCAGCAACAUGAAUCAAUCUCAAAAAAAUUACGAAAUCAGACCAUGUCCCUCUGGGGAAAAAAAAAAAAAAAAAAAAAAAAGAGUACAUAACUAUAUGAUGAUAUAUAAAAUUCUAGAAAAUGCAAACUAAUGUAAAAUAACAGAAAAGCAGAUUAGUGGUUGCUUUAGAAUCAAAGGAAGGAAAAAUAGGAGGGAGGAAACUACAAACUACAGCAAGCAAAGUUUUGAGGUUGACGGCUAUAUUGACAAUCCUCAUUAUGAUAGUUUUACAAGUGCACACGUCAUAACUUCUCAAAUCUAGACUUCAUAUACAUGCCGUUAUAAGUCAAAUAGAGCUGAUUUUUUUUUGGGGGGGGGUUGUCUUUUUAUGGCCACACCUGCAGCAUAUGGAAGUUCCCAGGCUAGGGGUAAAAUUAGAGCUGUCACUACUGCUGAGCCAGACCACUGCCACAGCAAUGCCAGAACCCUAACAACCCCCUACGUGAGGCCUGGGAUCGAACCCACAUCCUCAUGGUUCCUAGAUGGGUUGGUUACCACUGAGCCUUGACAGCAACUCCUACAGCUGAUUUUUGAAAGGAAAAGUUUUAUCUUUCAGAAAAUUUCUAAAGACAGGCAAAUGCAAAUACAAUUUUCCUAUUUUAUACAUAUAAAUUAUGUAUAUUAUGUAUCUUACUAUUCUCAUUUAAUAUUGUACGCAAAUAUCUUUCUAUAGUAGUAUAACUGUUUCCCCCUCCCCCCUUUUUUUGGUCUUUUUAGGGCCCCACCGAAGGCAUAUAGAGGAUCCCAGGCUAGGGGUCGAAUUGGAGCUGUACCUGCUGGCCUACGCCACAGCCACAGCCACAGCCACACUGGAUCUUAAACCCACUGAGCAAGGCCAGGGACUGAACCUGCGCCCUCAUCAACAUUAGGUUCAUUAACCACUGAGCCACGAGAACUCCCAUCUCUUUUUUAAACAGAAACAUACUGUGUAUAGUAACAAUGAACCACAACUGACAGGAAUUUGGGUUAUUUCUAAUUUGCUACUAUAAUAAUAAAAUGAACAUAUUUUGCAUAUAUUUGUAAGCAUAUACAUAAAAGCACAAGAUGCAUUUAUUUAAAUCUCUGUAUUGUCCUAUCUCAGGAUCUACAUAAACUGUUGGAAUUAAUAAGUUAAUUUAGCAAGAAUAUUACUGCUGUAAGUAGCAACUAGAAAAGAAAAAAAAUUCAAUACUACAUAAAAUAACACCAAAAAAAAAAAAUCAAAAUGCCUAGAAAUAAAUCCACAAAAAAAGUACCUCUACAUAGAAAACCACAGAAUAUUAUUGGAAAAAUUAAAGAUCUAAAUAAAUGAAGAAUAUACUGGGUGUUCCCACUGUGGCUCAGCACAAACAAAUCUGACUAGUAUCCAUGAGGACGCAGGUUCAAUCCCUGCCUGGCCUUGCUCAGUGGGUUAAAGUUUCUUUGUGGCUGUGAGCUGUGGUAUAGGUCACAGAGACGGCUUGGAUCUGGCGUUGCUGUGGCAUAGGCUGAUGGCUACAGUUCCUGAUUCAGCCCCUAGCUUGGGAACCUCCAUAUGCUGCAGGUGCGACCCUAAAAAGACAAAAAAAGAAAAAAACUCUAUACUAUGUUCAUGGAUUAAAGAAC
rnacentral:lncRNA from 1 species